CCGACAUGGGGCUGUCUCUUCACUCUCCCUCCCGUCAUUUAAUUUGUCGGGGCUGGGAUGCUCGUGAUCGGUUGCCUGUGUAGUUCUACCCUGUUGUGGGUAGCGAAGUUGCCCCUCGAUUGAUAUUUGCUUGCCUUUCUGACAUUUUUUUUGUCAUUUGGGUAGCCGAAAUGAUGGCGAAAUCCUUGUGUAGGUGCGUGGUCGAAUGGACUUGCUGCUGUCACUUGGAUUUUUGCCGGCUCUCACGGAUGCAGUGCCUAGUGCUAGCUCUGCGUGACUUUGCCACGCAGACUUCGGGAGGUCCCCUGUACGAAUCAUUGCGAUGUGGACGCCGUUUGUCGUGUUGCUUGUUUGGCACGCAAAUCGUAUUGUUCUGUCUGGAGUCGGGAUGACGAAGGGCAAGAAUGAAGUGUCCGGGGCAUGGUUGCGUACAUGCGGAAUGCCUCUCUGAUCGUAUGAGCAGCG
rnacentral:misc_RNA from 1 species